CACAACUCUUUCUCUGAGUAAUCCAGAAAGCCUAGUCCCAGCUAUGGGCUUAAGCUUUCUCACAGCUCAAUAGCUGAGUGGCAGCACAAUGCAGCCAGGACAUUUGGAAAUCACAUCACCAUAGACCCCAUUAUGCACACCACUCUACACCCUGCCAAUCUUUUCCAAGAUCCAGGUGCUGUGUGCAUGGGCUUAGCCACAAGGUCUGAACUGAGACAUGCCAGCAGGAUGACAAGCUCCAGGGACAGCACUUCAAUCUUUGCUAGCACAAUUCCUGGCCCAGUGGAAUUCAUGGGAACUGGGGCUCCUAAGGGUGGAGGGAACUUUGGGUUUAGCAUACCUACCCCAGGCUCCAGGUCAAAUUUCAGAGCUCACUGUCAACCAGGCUGGAUCUAAGGCAAACCUGUGUGAAGUGCGGAGGAGAACUUUGUGGACACUCAGCUUGACCGGCCUGGCUUGUCAGCUACCUUGGCUAAUGGAAGCUCUGGUCCAUUUUCCCUGGCCUUGGACCUGGUUAGGGUGUCCUCUGCUAGUGACAGGGGCUCCCUUUCCCUCAUCUGUUUGCCUCAAUAGCCAUCCUCUUUCCCCAGUGAUGUACAUACAAUCCUAUUUUUUCUAGUUCAUCUGUGUCUGUUCAUGUGUCUUUCUUGUUCUUUGACUACACAGUGGAGGAAGAAG
rnacentral:lncRNA from 1 species